GGUUGAUAGCCAGCCAACCAAACCGUGCAUCCCCAGUUUCCCAGUUCUUGUGGAAUUCUCAGUGAGAAUAAUGGAGCACGAGAAGCAGCUUAGCAUACUUUAUCAAAAACAAGGUCGUGCGACCCAGUUUCCAAGCAAAGCUGCUCGUGACAAAUGGCUUCAAAAGGAAAUUGAUGUUCUUGAACGAGUUCUUUCUUCAAAUUUGGCACAGGCAUGGGAGUUGAUGAUUCUGAAACUGACGCUAUAAUAAAUUGUGAGAUCAAACUAGAAUUCUGAUGUUCAUAUACCUGUUGGAUCAUUUCAUGCCUUGUUAAGAGAUUUGUAUUAGUUUUCUGUUAGCUUGUUUUAAAAUGAACUUUUAGUCAACCAGGUGGCAUUGGGUGAAAAAAGUGCUUAUCUAACUUCCCAUCAUUCAUACAUACAUAAAGGAGAGGCAUCAAGGCAUAGGGGAGUGACAGCGAAAGUAAAGGCUGUUGUUGAUGCAACUUCUGCUGGCAUCUUCAUUGUCAUCACAAAGUGUGUUCUUCAAGACUUGGUUGGUUUCAACAUUUUACUUAAUUUUGUUAGAAAACUAGUUCUGUUGAUGUAAUGACUUUGUUGGAUAUAUGGAUGAAUGUAUUGGAUUUUAACAUAAAUGAAUGUGUUUUGGAUGUGAUGUCA